CAGUCUUUGAGCUUUAGAGACCUCUGCUGGUCAGCAGGAGUGAUUGCAAAAGAAAAAAAACACCUCAGGCAUUAAGAGCACAGUGUUUUGGAUCAGAAAAGUAGGAUUCAUUUCAUGACAAAGGCCAUCGUGUGUCGUGCCCAGUAACUCUCAGUAGGCUUCUCUCAGUAGUUUUGAAGAAUUGAAAAAUAACCUCCCUAAAUCCCACCUCAAAAUCCAACUGGAAUUUUACUAUAAGGUUAUUUUGUGCAACAUGGCAAUAAUAAGAAUUUGUCCUGUCAGCUGAACAUGGGUCCAGUGUCCGACACCACAUCAGCUGCAGCACAGAGACAACCAGCAGAACAGCAGGAUGAACUUCAAUACGCCAGAAUCAGCUUCGCUCAGAGACAGGAGGACGCUCUCUACUCCAACAUCAGGCCAGCGCAGACACAGAGACACACUGAGGAUGAGGACGAUGAGGACGAUCAAGCCUGACAGCAGUGCCUCAGGAGCAAGACGUCAAGAAAAUGGGGAGGAUUUAUUUGCUCUCUACAGCACAGUCACCAAAUGAACACAACAUGAAUGUUUAUUCCGUUAUUCCUAUGUUUUUUUGUGCACCUUAAUUCAAGAGUCAGACACAAUGAAGCUACAGAUACUGUGAACUCCUCAGGACAGAUAUUUAUUUGUUUGCUUGAAAACCUAGAUCAACAUCUCUUUCCAUGUGCUUCAUUCAGAUGCCCUCACAAGUAUUUAAACCUUCAAAAUCUGAGAUAAUUGGUUUGCUUUCUUUUGAAACAUGGACAAAAAAAAGGCAGAUUUCUUGUAAAUGGUAAGAAAGUACUAGAUUUGACUAGAUUAGAUUUACAGAAUUAUUAUUAUUUUUUAACAAUUUUAAAGUCUUUUCUUUUUUUCUUUGUAUUUUUUGUAACUUUUUGAUGGCAAAUUUUAAGUUAGUCGUUGUCUUACUCUUAUUAUUUUUAUUGUUGUAGUUGUUGCUCACUUUUGUAAUGCAUUUUAAGUGGACUUUUUCUGCUUGUGUUUAUUGUAACAAUUUCAAGGAGACUUUUACUCGGUUAAAUAAAGUAUGUGUAUAAAGGACA